UACGAAGGGUGCAAGCGUUACUCGGAAUUACUGGGCGUAAAGGGCGCGUAGGCGGCCAUCUAAGUCAGACGUGAAAUCCCCCGGCUUAACCUGGGAACUGCGUCUGAUACUGGACGGCUCGAGUUUGGGAGAGGGAUGUGGAAUUCCAGGUGUAGCGGUGAAAUGCGUAGAUAUCUGGAGGAACACCGGUGGCGAAGGCGGCAUCCUGGACCAACACUGACGCUGAGGCGCGAAAGCUAGGGGAGCAAACGGG
rnacentral:rRNA from 1 species